rnacentral:lncRNA from 1 species
AACUCUUGAAUGGCACAGCAACCAAAAGGCCUGAAAGAAAGUUUGUUGGAAAUGCGUUCCCAAAACCAUCAGCUGGCCGUAACUUUACUGGAUUUAAACAUAAAAAUGCAGCAGUUGAAACUGGCUCACAGACUGGAAAUUGCAUCAGAAUCUCAAAGCCCAGAAGAUAAUGCUGUGAAUUGGGAGGACGGAAAAG